rnacentral:lncRNA from 1 species
UGCGGUCCGGGCGGUCUCCAAGGGCAGCCGGGCUGCCGGGCGCUGUGCCUGGCACCGCCUUACCUGGAGUCAAUGUCCGUCUUUGGCGGAGAGCUGCGGGAGGACGCUUUUUAUUCGGCUCGGUGGGAACUUGGGAGAACCCGGCGUCCAGCUCGCAUACCGGGAACGGCGCGGGGACUGCAGGCGUGGGGGUACCUGGCUCCUAGCAGCCUGGCUCAUACUCAGCCUUAAAGUCCCCUUCGCUGGUCCCGAGGACAGGCAUGAAUCCAAGCUCCGGAAGGCGGUCACUACUCCCUCAGCCUCCCGGCUCUCUCGCUCUCGCUUUGCUCUUUGGCUCGCUCGCUCUCUCCCUCUCUCGCUCGCUCGCUCGCCUGCGCUUUCCUCCUCCCCCCGCGCCAGAUCAGUUCGCAGCCGUGGGGACCGGGAGCGAGGCAGCCAGCGAAUGGAGAGGGAAGUCCAAGUGCGCCGCGGUCUCCGGGCGGGGAGCAGAGGAGGCCGGGCUACGCGGGGGGAGGGACUUACCGGGCGACGGGCGAAAAUGAAUGGGGGAGCGGCUGUCGGGGGGCGGGGAGGGAGGAGCAAAGAGCCUGGGUUUAUUCUGAGGAGUGUUUUGUACAUCUUUAGGCGGAGGAGGAGAAGGAAGAGGAGGAGAGAAGAAGGCCUUCUCCAAGGGAGGGGCGGCCUGGGUGGGCUGAGGCUGAACCUCUGGGGAGUCUCGUGGGUCUGGGGAUAGGGUGGCUUGUGUCCGUAUAUGAGCACCCAAAGGGACUGUGUGCGGUGUGUGUGCGCAAACCCCGAUUCCUGGUGUCUUAAGCUUGUCUGUAGCUGUGUGCGUCGCGAGUAUCUGAGUGUUGCUGGGUAUGCGGGUGCUAGUGAUUCUGUGUGUAUCUAUUCGAGUGUGGUUUUGUCUGGGGAGGUGACUGUGUGGGUCCAUUUGUAUCCGUGCGCCUCUCUAAGAGUAUUUAAGACUGUUUGUUUCUCUGUCUGUGUAGGCGUGAGCCCACGUAACCUCCCGGAAUUAAGCAAGUGCUUCUCUACGUGGGCAGGAUGUAGGAGCGAGAAGCUAAUGGGACGCAAAGUUCUCUCGAUACCACCAAAGGCAGAGAAGGGGAGACUUACAUUUCUGCGAUAACUGAAAGAUGAGCUAGGCAGGGCAGGAAACCCCACUUUAUAGAAAAAGUAUGACUUGCAGAAGAGUAAUAUUUUGCAAUCACGGAC